rnacentral:rRNA from 1 species
UGGCGGCCUUAGCGCGGUGGUCCCACCUGACCCCAUGCCGAACUCAGAAGUGAAACGCCGUAGCGCCGAUGGUAGUGUGGGGUCUCCCCAUGCGGGA